AACAACUGAACUUCGUGCCAACAUAAUACACUUUGAUGAACAAUUUAAGAGAAAAGUAGAGAUUAUAUAGCAUCAACACUAUUCCGUUAGAGAAAUCUUGAAAAGAAAUACUGCGUGCGUUGGUCCGGUGCAGACGGCCAUUUCCCGCUACGAAGAUAUUCGGCUAAGACCUACCCCUUACAAGGCCAUUCAUGUUAAUCACCCAUGAUCAUCGAGGAUCUUUGGC
rnacentral:lncRNA from 1 species